CAAUAGCGUAUAUUAAAGUUGUUGCAGUUAAAAAGCUCGUAGUUGGAUUUCGAAUGGGAGCGGCUGGUCGGCUCCGCAAGGGGUCGCAACCGAGUUCGUCUCCGGUUCUAAUUCGGGUGACCUUGGUCAUGGCAUUGAUUUGUCGUGGCUGAGUCCCGUCGUUUACUGUGAACAAAUUAGAGUGUUCCAAGCAAGGCUUGACUUGAAUACAUUAGCAUGGAAUAAUAAGAUAGGACUUUGGUGGUUCUGCCCUUGGGGUGGAUAUUUUGUUGGUUUGCACGCCAAAGUAAUGAUUAAUAGGAGCAGUUGGGGGUAUUCGUAUUCAAUUGUCAGAGGUGAAAUUCUUGGAUUUCUAGAAGACGAACUACUGCGAAAGCAUUUACCAAGGAUGUUUNCAUUAA
rnacentral:rRNA from 1 species